UGUGGAGUCUCGGAAAGGGACAGGAAGGCGCAGCGAAGGUUCGCUCUCUUUCUUCUGUUUGAGAAGCAAUCUUCACUGGUCCACAAUCUUUCGUAGCCAGGGCAGGGAUAUCCACAGUGGCGUGCCUGGAGAAGAAUGGAUCACGCACGAUUGCAUACUACCAGGGAAAUGGGUACGAGCAUUACACUGAUCCUCCAAUUAUCCGCGUGAGAGAGCUCAUGCAUCGUCCUGUUUGAACGACACACAAACACAGACCUCUUCUUCUGCUGGUUGCGAAGGAUUCAAUUCAAGUGCGCAUUGUUUGUGGGGUGGUGCGUGAUUUGUGUCUGGGCAAUGCCAGGUAAUGUUCAGCGUCGCUUCCAGGACAGUUUUUACGUGCGGAGUUGGCCAGGUUGUGGGUGGGUAGCGUGGAGCUGCGGACUGGCAUCUGCAUAUAAUUCUCGAAGUUUGUGCAUUAAAGACAAAAGGAAACAACAAGAAGAAACAUGAACUGGCUGGUUACUUUUGUGGUCGGCGAGAUGGCCCUGGUUAGUAAGGACCAAGCCCCCAUUCCCCGGGCCUUCCACAUCAUGAUGAUGAAAUCUGAGACCGAUUAACGCGCAGAAACCGAGAUUCAGAGACUGUGAUUGUCAGGAGGGAUGCAGAAGUGGUGAGAGCCGGCUGUGUUGACAGGCAGGUCGUUUGCUGUAACUCGGUACAGACGGACAGGCAGAGGGACAGGGAAACGGAAAACGAUGAAGGUUUGUAGAAACUCGUGGGUUAGUCAAAGGUGUGGCACAUAUGGGAAAUUUUUGUCAUCAUCAACCAUACGAAAUAGGUCCGGAUCAUCAGUUGGAGGUGAAAAGAAAACUGGUAAGAUGUUUAUGCAGCUGGCAAACGCACAAAAAAAAACGCGUCAGACAGCCGCAACGAGACGGAUUCUCUCCUAAAAGCUCGUAAGCAACCACAGGAACAUUUACAGUUUCUUUUACUGAGAUGAACAGGAAUUGCAGAUGGUCCUUGUCCAGUUCCCUUCCGACCCUGCCAUGGCUCGUGAUGCCUUGGAUAUUAAAACAUCACCUCAUAAAGCUUUGGAACCGUUUCCCUGACUUUUCUUGGAACUUCUUACUGACGUCAAAGUAUUUAGAGCUUCUGUGCUCUUAUUAACCUUUACAAAUCACAGUCAAGUAUGCGGUGUGUAGACAAACUUCUAACUAGUGUAGCUUCGUGUGUGAAGAUAGCACAGCAGACAGGGUUCAAAGAGUAGCUCCUCAAACUUUGCAGUCUUCAUUCUCUUUCUUGCGUCAAAAAUCUCGAUGGUUUUUACGUAAUUAAGCACGACCAAGUGGUAGAGCUCGUGCAUGCACAUCUACCUCUCGCAAUCUCAAAUAUGCAGUGGCAAUAAAUAACGCAAUAUCUUCCCAACAACGC